rnacentral:rRNA from 1 species
CACUCCUGCGGGAGGCAGCAGUGGGGAAUAUUGGACAAUGGGCGCAAGCCUGAUCCAGCCAUGCCGCGUGAGUGAUGAAGGCCCUAGGGUUGUAAAGCUCUUUCACCGGUGAAGAUAAUGACGGUAACCGGAGAAGAAGCCCCGGCUAACUUCGUGCCAGCAGCCGCGGUAAUACGAAGGGGGCUAGCGUUGUUCGGAUUUACUGGGCGUAAAGCGCACGUAGGCGGACUAUUAAGUCAGGGGUGAAAUCCCGGGGCUCAACCCCGGAACUGCCUUUGAUACUGGUAGUCUUGAGUUCGAGAGAGGUGAGUGGAAUUCCGAGUGUAGAGGUGAAAUUCGUAGAUAUUCGGAGGAACACCAGUGGCGAAGGCGGCUCACUGGCUCGAUACAGACGCUGAGGUGCGAAAGCGUGGGGAGCAAACAGGAUUAGAAACCCGUGUAGUCCC